rnacentral:rRNA from 1 species
UACGUAGGUGGCAAGCGUUAUCCGGAUUUACUGGGUGUAAAGGGCGUGUAGGCGGGAUGGUAAGUCAGAUGUGAAAACUAUGGGCUCAACCCAUAGCCUGCAUUUGAAACUAUCGUUCUUGAGUGUUGGAGAGGCAGGCGGAAUUCCGUGUGUAGCGGUGAAAUGCGUAGAGAUAUGGAGGAACACCAGUGGCGAAGGCGGCUUCCUGGUCUGCAACUGACACUGAGGCGCGAAAGCGUGGGGAGCAAACAGG